rnacentral:misc_RNA from 1 species
GUAACAAGGUUUCCGUAGGUGAACCUGCGGAAGGAUCAUUACAGUGCCCGCGGGACGUCGGUCUCGUCUUCCUAAACGGAGGCGAGCCGCGCCCUGCAACCGGCCCCACACUUGUACACCAAACCUGUUGCCUCGGCGGGACCGCCGUCUAACGGCCGCCGGGAGGGGGGGACCCCUUCUGGCCAGCGCCCGCCGGUGGACCUACAAACAACCUAUGAAUCUAGUGAAGUCUGAGUGUUAAUCACGAAUUAAUCAAAACUUUCAACAAUGGAUCUCUUGGUUCCGGCAUCGAUGAAGAACGCAGCGAAAUGCGAUAAGUAAUGUGAAUUGCAGAAUUCCGUGAAUCAUCGAAUCUUUGAACGCACAUUGCGCCCCCUGGUAUUCCGGGGGGCAUGCCUGUCCGAGCGUCAUUACAACCCUCAAGCACGGCUUGUGUUAUGGGCCGUCGUCCCCUACUCGCUAGGUGGACGCGUCCGAAAUGCAGUGACGGUAGCCGCGACUCCGGUGCCCGAGUGAAUGGAGGAUAAUACCACCGCUCGUUUGGCCCGGCCGGCUCCGGUCGAAAUCAUUUAUUUCUUAGGUUGACCUCGGAUCAGGUAGGGAUACCCGCUGAACUUAAGCAUAUC